rnacentral:rRNA from 1 species
GACGAACGCUGGCGGCGUGCUUAACACAUGCAAGUCGAACGGUAAGGCCCUUCGGGGUAAACGAGUGGCGAACGGGUGAGUAACACGUGGGUGAUCUGCCCUGAACUUCGGGAUAAGCCUGGGAAACUGGGUCUAAUACCGGAUAGGACCACUGCCUGCAUGGGUGGUGGUGGAAAGCUUUUGCGGUGUGGGAUGGGCCCGCGGGCUAUCAGCGUGCUGGUGGGGUGAUGGCAUACCAAGGCGACGACGGGUAGCCGGCCUGGGAGGGUGACCGGCGACACUGGGACUGAGAUACGGCCCAGAAGCCUACGGGAAGCAGCAGUGGGGAAUAUUGCACAAUGGGCGCAAGCCUGAUACAGCGACGCCGCGUGAGGGAUGACGGCCUUCGGGUUGUAAACCUCUUUCAGCAGCGACGAAGCGAAAGUGACGGUAGGUGCAGAAGAAGGACCGGCCAACUACGUGCCAGCCGCCGCGGUAA